GUAGGUGGCAAGCGUUGUCCGGAAUUAUUGGGCGUAAAGCGCGCGCAGGUGGUUCUUUAAGUCUGAUGUGAAAGCCCCCGGGCUCAACCGGGGAGGGUCAUUGGAAACUGGGGAACUUGAGUGCAGGAGAGGAAAGUGGAAUUCCACGUGUAGCGGUGAAAUGCGUAGAUAUGUGGAGGAACACCAGUGGCGAAGGCGACUUUCUGGCCUGUAACUGACACUGAGGCGCGAAAGCGUGGGGAGCAAACAGGAUUGGAUACCCUGGUAGUCCACGCCGUAAACGAUGAGUGCUAAGUGUUGGGGGGUUUCCGCCCCUCAGUGCUGCAGCUAACGCAUUAAGCACUCCGCCUGGGGAGUACGGCCGCAAAGACUG
rnacentral:rRNA from 1 species